UUGAACGCUGGCGGUAUGCUUAACACAUGCAAGUCGAACGGAAACGAUACUAGCUUGCUAGUAGGCGUCGAGUGGCGGACGGGUGAGUAACGCGUAGGAAUCUGCCUGAUAGUGGGGGAUAGCCCGAAGAAAUUCGGAUUAAUACCGCAUAAUCUAUUCGUAGUAAAGUGGGGGACUUUCGAGCCUCACGCUAUCAGAUGAGCCUGCGUAAGAUUAGCUUGUUGGUAGGGUAAAAGCCUACCAAGGCGACGAUCUUUAGCUGGUCUGAGAGGAUGAUCAGCCACAUCGGGACUGAGACACGGCCCGAACUCCUACGGGAGGCAGCAGUGGGGAAUAUUGGACAAUGGGGGCAACCCUGAUCCAGCAAUACCGCGUGUGUGAAGAAGGCCUGAGGGUUGUAAAGCACUUUCAAUUGUGAAGAAAAGUUAGCGGUUAAUAACCGUUAGCCUUGACGUUAACUUUAGAAGAAGCACCGGCUAACUCCGUGCCAGCAGCCGCGGUAAUACGGAGGGUGCAAGCGUUAAUCGGAAUUACUGGGCGUAAAGCGUGCGUAGGCGGUUUAUUAAGUCAGAUGUGAAAGCCCCGGGCUUAACCUGGGAACUGCAUUUGAAACUGGUCAACUAGAGUAUGGUAGAGGAAAGUGGAAUUUCUGGUGUAGCGGUGAAAUGCGUAGAUAUCAGAAGGAACAUCAAUGGCGAAGGCAGCUUUCUGGACCAAUACUGACGCUGAGGUACGAAAGCGUGGGUAGCAAACAGGAUUAGAUACCCUGGUAGUCCACGCCGUAAACGAUGAUAACUAGCCGUUGGGGGGAUUUACCCUUUAGUGGCGAAGCUAACGCGUUAAGUUAUCCGCCUGGGGAGUACGGCCGCAAGGUUAAAACUCAAAGGAAUUGACGGGGACCCGCACAAGCGGUGGAGCAUGUGGUUUAAUUCGAUGCAACGCGAAGAACCUUACCUGGUCUUGACAUCCUGCGAACUUUCUAGAAAUAGAUUGGUGCCUUCGGGAACGCAGUGACAGGUGCUGCAUGGCUGUCGUCAGCUCGUGUCGUGAGAUGUUGGGUUAAGUCCCGUAACGAGCGCAACCCCUAUCCUUAUUUGCCAGCACAUCAUGGUGGGAACUAUAAGGAGACUGCCGGUGAUAAACCGGAGGAAGGCGGGGACGACGUCAAGUCGUCAUGGCCCUUACGACCAGGGCUACACACGUGCUACAAUGGGAAGGACAAAGAGCCGCGAAGCCGCGAGGUGUAGCUAAUCUCAUAAACCUUUUCGUAGUCCGGAUUGGAGUCUGCAACUCGACUCCAUGAAGUCGGAAUCGCUAGUAAUCGUAGAUCAGAAUGCUACGGUGAAUACGUUCCCGGGUCUUGUACACACUGCCCGUCAAGGG
rnacentral:rRNA from 1 species